rnacentral:rRNA from 1 species
GAUGAACGCUGGCGGCGUGCCUAACACAUGCAAGUCGAGCGGAGAUAUAUGAACAGAUAGAGAUAUUUGGGAAUACAUCUUAGCGGCGGACGGGUGAGUAACACGUGAGGAACCUGCCUUACACUAAGGAAUAACAACGUGAAAACGUUGCUAAUACCGCAUAACACCGCACUAUGGCAUCAUAGAGCGGUCAAAGGAGAGAUCCGGUGUAAGAUGGCCUCGCGCCCGAUUAGUUAGUUGGUGGGGUAACGGCCCACCAAGACUACGAUCGGUAGCCGGACUGAGAGGUCGAACGGCCACAUUGGAACUGAGAGACGGUCCAGACUCCUACGGGAGGCAGCAGUGGGGAAUAUUGGGCAAUGGGGGAAACCCUGACCCAGCAACGCCGCGUGAAGGAAGAGGGCCUUCGGUUGUAACUUCUUUGUAUCAGGGAAGAAACGAAAUAGACGGUACCUGAAAACAAGCCAACGGCUAACUACGUG